UCUCCCUCUCUCAGGUGGAAGGCAGAGGGCUCAGGCUCAGGCAGCAGCCGCAGGACAGAGGGCAGUGGGUGGACAAGCGUGAGGUGUGUCCAUACUCAGGGUGGGCCUUCUGGUCUGGACAGGUCCAGUCUUGUCCAGGGAGGGGGGUGCUCAGGCAUAAGUGAGCAGGGGUUGAUGGGGGAGGUUGUGGAGCAGGGCAGCGCCCAGACUCACCUGAGGCUCGGGCGCCAAACUGGAGGACAGGGCAGAGCAGACUUUUUGUUUUUGUUUUAAUAAAGUAACUUUGAACUUUUCUUCUUUUUCUGGUUACUUAAGGUAUAACAUUAGGCUCUUUACUUGAUUAUAUUUCUUUUCUUUGUUAAACAAUAUUUUUGUGCACAUAUGUAUGUGGCUAUGCAUGAUGUACAAGUACAUGUAUGUGGUUCUCAAAGACUGGACUUACAUGUUCAGGCUUGGCAGCAAGUGCCUUUAUGAACCAAGGCAUCUCACUGAGCACUCUGUCUCUUUUCAGGUAGCUGUUUAUAGCUAAAACUGCUCCUCUGAGAACAUCUUUUGUGGCGUUCUGCAAGCUUUGCAAGAAGGUCCUGGAUCCUUUAUUUCUAUGUAACAUCCUGUUCAUGGAAUUGUUGCCAGGUUCUCAUUAAGAAGUGUUACCAACCUCAUGACAUCUGAAAACCGCUGGCAGCAUAGUGAGGCUGAAGAUGGCCAAUUCCCACAGAAGCUGGCAAUUUCUUGGGACACCGCAGCCCCCUGAAGCUGAGGGCCGGCAGCCAGCUGUUGCUGCAAGCUGGCUCUAGUCAGGGUCUCUUGAGAAAACCCAGAGCUUGCUGAGAAGACUAUUGUGAUUAGCCAGUUUGCUGGAGGAGUCUCCUGUCUGCCUUAUAGGACUGGAAUUAUAGGGGUGCUACCCCAGCAUCCGGGCUCUGUGGAUCUGAACUCCAGUUCUGCUGCUUGCAUGGCCAGCCCUUCAGCCCCUGAGACAUUUCCACAACUCCUAAAGACAUUACUGGAUUUACAUGAUCGUCAACAGAACACUGGCUUGACUUUAGGCUCCACAGGUCUUAGUUUAGGGUGUGGCCAAGUAUGGGCACUGGUCUGCCUUGUUGUCUUUUUUACCUUAUUUUUCUAUCUGUGAGUGAAGAGGACUUUAUUGCUCACUCACUGGGUUGCUGUGAAGAUUACAUGGGCUAAGGAACAGUCUUUCUACACAGCCUUGGCUGUCCUGGAACUCACUCUGUGGACCUGGCUGUCCUGGAACUCACUCUGUGGACCUGGCUGUCCUGGAACUCACUCUGUGGACCUGGCUGUCCUGGAACUCACUCUGUGGACCUGGCUGUCCUGGAACUUACUGUGUGGACCAGACCGACCUCAAAUUUGCAGGGAUCAGCCUGCCUCUUUCUUCUGAGUGUUGGGAUUAAAGUUUUGCCAGGCCCAUCAGUGUGACCACUGGAUUGGAAGUACCCAUUGGAACCUGGUACGGUCAUCACGGCAAUACCUCUGAAGGAAACCUCUGUCUUUAUCAGUAGCAAACAGUUGAGCACUGAGGAGUGGGACCCCAGAGACCUCCCCCACCUAUGCCUGGCUGUCCAUGGACCCAUUCUUGUGUGGACUCGGGACAGUCAUCUGCAAAUGUUGAAACUUCAUGUUAGAAGCAUUUUUGUCUUGCCCACAAGAUGGGGUUUCCGAGCUGAGCACUCAACUGUCACUUAUUCUUAGGGCCGUGUACAGCCGAGUCUCUUCAUUCACUGCAGUGCAUUAGAGAGACAGGGCUGUCUGACUAACACAGUGGUGAUUGGCUGUGGCUAUAAAGAUAUCUAUUUAGAAGGUGGUUUGGUGUUACAUCAAUUUAAAUAAGCAACAGAAUUAAGUCCCCUCUUGGGGACAGUGACUUUCCGCACUAUAGGUUCUUUUUAGUGAGUUUACAGUACUGGGUAUGGAUUCCCCUCUUAGAGUGAGCCUCAAAUCAGAUCAGAAAUCUGUCCAACCCAUCCCUCUUGUUUCAGUUUCCUUCUUCCCACUCACUUUCUCUGCUGUUGCCAGCAUCUGUUGUCUUAAAGCAGUCAUGAAUAUUGCCCUUAACAGAGAAUUAUGGGUGCUCCCUACCUUGAUAAUCAUAGACUCUUAACCCUUUGAAACUGUAAGCCCCCAAUAAGCUUUUUCUUUUAUAAAUUGCUAUGGUCAUGCUGUCUUAUCUCAGCAAUAGAAAGAUACUGAAGACUGAACUCAGUGUGGUGAGUUGGGGUUUUGUCUUGGCAGGCCUGACUAUGCUGUUUUCAGUGGGGAACAUGGAAAGCUUUGGGAGUUUUGUCUAGAAAAGUGGUUGACAACUUUAAAUGGGAUUAAUAGGCCAUCCUAGUAUGGAGGACAGCAGUACCGAGAGCAGUGUGGGCUCUGGAGGACCAGCUCGAGAGGUUUCAGAGAGAAACAGUAUUAGCAACUGGGCUAGAGAAUAUUUUUGUGAUACUUUGGCAAAUAAUGUGGUGCUUUCUGCCUUUGUCCUAAAAAUUUGCCUGAGGCAAACUGAAAAACAACAGAUUAAUAGGGGGAACAGAUUUCAAGACAGCCUAAUAUUGGCUCUGUUGCAUGGUUACUAGUAAUUACUUUUUUGUUGGUCUAUAAUGAAAAAGAGCAUGUAAGGCACAAAGAAAUACAAAGUGUAUCGUGUAGAGCCAAAAAGAACCCUGGGAAAUUUAAUGUUGUAGCCAAUGCUUGUACUAAAAAGACAGGAGAGACCCAUGGGAAAUGGAAUGAAGGGCAGUGUGUCCUCAGGGUGAGACCCCCAUGCAUCUAAACUUCCAACUUGUGAAAAGAAAAUGCCUGAGGAACUUUCUGGUCCUGAAAGGCAAAGGGAAGCCUAUACAAUGUGAGCAACCCCACUUGGCAGCUCUUUCUGGUUUUGGAAUCAUGAAGGAUACAUAAGGAAAGGAGUUGUGGAAUCUUCCUCUGUGAUUAAAGAGAGUUGUUGGGGCCAGUGUGUGGCAACUGAGACCCUACAUGGAGGCCCUGAGAGGCCAUUGUGUGAAGCUCUGAUGGGGAAUGGAUCCCAACCCAAGAGGGAGAAACACAUUGUAGCCAACAAAACCUGAAGGGAGGCUGGAGCUGUCAGACACUGUGAUAUCAGACACGGAGCUACAGAAUUUGGAGGGCCCUGCUGCGUUUAGGUCUUGGCUUUGGCCCAGUGUUUUCUCUCUAUGUCCCCAUCCCUCCAUUUUGGGAUGGUAAUAUAUGUUCUGUGCCUUUAGAUUUUUUAUUUUGUGCCUUUUUAUUUUGAUUUUAAUGGGGCUAUAAUAAGGGAGUACUCUGAGUCUCAGAAGAGACUUUGGACUUUUAAACUGUGUUGAGACUGAAAGAAUAGUGGGACUUUUGACUUUGGAUUUUUAAAUUGUGUUGAGACUGAAAGAAUAGUGGGACUUCUGGAGCUGGACUAAACACAUUUUAUGUCAUGUUAUGUCCCUGGGAGGGAGGGAGUGGAAUGUGGUUUGACUGAUAAUGAAGGCCCAUUUGUUUGAAUACUUGGUCCCUAGUUGGUGGAACUAUUUGGGUUAGUAGGUGUGUCCUUGUUGGAUGAGGUCCAUCACCAACUGUCUCUCAUGAGCUCUCUUCAUGGUGCCGAGCCUCAACUUGUUUGCAUGGCGCCUUCAGCUGCCACUGAGGCUGCCACUGAGGCUGCAUCUUCACCAAUGGCCUCUCCUGGCCUCUCACAGGGCCAAGCCUCAGCUGCUCUCCAUGACUCCUUCAAAACCAGCACCAAGCUAAGCUGCCAGCACAAAGUACAGGUCUUGGCUGCUUCUGGAGCAUAGCUUGUGUGUGUGCUGACCCCGAGCAAACACUUCCUAGAAGAUUUCACCUCAGUGCUGCUGGUCUCUUCUUAAUCACUGCUAAUUUCUUAGCUCUAGCUUAACCAGCAUCAUUGCCCUCGGUAAUGAAAAGAUUUCAUUUCAAUGUUGCCAGUCUCUUGUUAAUCACAGCUGAUUCUUCAGCCCCAGCUGACAGAAACAACAGAAUCUUUAUUCAAAAUAGGAUACAGCCCUGAUAGUCUUUAAACUUCCCUCUGAAAAUCACGAGCCAGGCCUCUAACUUCUGCAUUGCUCUUAACAUGCUCAUCUUCCAAGCUUCUAAAGAAUGGCUCACUGAACUCUCAAUGCUUCAUGGCUCUUCUAGCUCAAACUUCCAAAGUUCUUCCAUGGUCAGAUUUGUCAUAGCAAUGCCCCGUUCCUGGUACAAACUUGUGUUAGUUAGGGUUUCUAUUGCUGCCACAAAACACCAUGACCAAAAAGCAAACUGGGAGGAAAGGGUUUAUUCAGCUCCACAUCGCUGUUCAUCAUCAAAGGAA